UACGUAGGGGGCAAGCGUUGUCCGGAAUCAUUGGGCGUAACGAGCGUGUAGGCGGCUCGAUAAGUCUGCUGUGAAAGUCCAGGGCUCAACCCUGGAAGGCCGGUGGAAACUGUCGGGCUAGAGUCCGGAAGAGGCGAGUGGAAUUCCCGGUGUAGCGGUGAAAUGCGCAGAUAUCGGGAGGAACACCAAUGGCGAAGGCAGCUCGCUGGGACGGUACUGACGCUGAGACGCGAAAGCGUGGGGAGCAAACAGG
rnacentral:rRNA from 1 species